rnacentral:rRNA from 1 species
GACGAACGCUGGCGGCGUGCCUAAUACAUGCAAGUCGAGCGAGCGGAACUAACAGAUUUACUUCGGUAAUGACGUUAGGAAAGCGAGCGGCGGAUGGGUGAGUAACACGUGGGGAACCUGCCCCAUAGUCUGGGAUACCACUUGGAAACAGGUGCUAAUACCGGAUAAGAAAGCAGAUCGCAUGAUCAGCUUUUAAAAGGCGGCGUAAGCUGUCGCUAUGGGAUGGCCCCGCGGUGCAUUAGCUAGUUGGUAAGGUAAAGGCUUACCAAGGCGAUGAUGCAUAGCCGAGUUGAGAGACUGAUCGGCCACAUUGGGACUGAGACACGGCCCAAACUCCUACGGGAGGCAGCAGUAGGGAAUCUUCCACAAUGGACGCAAGUCUGAUGGAGCAACGCCGCGUGAGUGAAGAAGGUUUUCGGAUCGUAAAGCUCUGUUGUUGGUGAAGAAGGAUAGAGGUAGUAACUGGCCUUUAUUUGACGGUAAUCAACCAGAAAGUCACGGCUAACUACGUGCCAGCAGCCGCGGUAAUACGUAGGUGGCAAGCGUUGUCCGGAUUUAUUGGGCGUAAAGCGAGCGCAGGCGGAAGAAUAAGUCUGAUGUGAAAGCCCUCGGCUUAACCGAGGAACUGCAUCGGAAACUGUUUUUCUUGAGUGCAGAAGAGGAGAGUGGAACUCCAUGUGUAGCGGUGGAAUGCGUAGAUAUAUGGAAGAACACCAGUGGCGAAGGCGGCUCUCUGGUCUGCAACUGACGCUGAGGCUCGAAAGCAUGGGUAGCGAACAGGAUUAGAUACCCUGGUAGUCCAUGCCGUAAACGAUGAGUGCUAAGUGUUGGGAGGUUUCCGCCUCUCAGUGCUGCAGCUAACGCAUUAAGCACUCCGCCUGGGGAGUACGACCGCAAGGUUGAUACUCAAAGGAAUUGACGGGGGCCCGCACAAGCGGUGGAGCAUGUGGUUUAAUCCGAAGCAACGCGAAGAACCUUACCAGGUCUUGACAUCUAGUGCCAUUUGUAGAGAUACAAAGUUCCCUUCGGGGACGCUAAGACAGGUGGUGCAUGGCUGUCGUCAGCUCGUGUCGUGAGAUGUUGGGUUAAGUCCCGCAACGAGCGCAACCCUUGUUAUUAGUUGCCAGCAUUAAGUUGGGCACUCUAAUGAGACUGCCGGUGACAAACCGGAGGAAGGUGGGGAUGACGUCAAGUCAUCAUGCCCCUUAUGACCUGGGCUACACACGUGCUACAAUGGGCAGUACAACGAGAAGCGAGCCUGCGAAGGCAAGCGAAUCUCUGAAAGCUGUUUUCAGUUCGGACUGCAGUCUGCAACUCGACUGCACGAAGCUGGAAUCGCUAGUAAUCGUGGAUCAGCACGCCGCGGUGAAUACGUUCCCGGGCCU